UAUUUGUAGAGUAACUGGUUGUAAUCUUCUAAACUCUGUGAACUGCACUUCUCUAUGGCCUUAUACUGGGUGUUUUGCUCAUUCAGUUGACCAGUGUGGUUUUGAGGAGGAACUGCCUCAAAAGAGGAAUUUUCUUUUACUGGUGGAAGGCUGCUUGCAUCCCCCAUUUCUGUAGUGGUAUCUGGUGCAAGUUUGCUGUUAUCACCUCCCUCCCCUUUGCUUUUCAGCUCAUUGCUUCCGUCAUCAGGAGCUGUCACAUUCUCCUCUUUGCUGCUAACUUUAGCUUCUAAACUAUGCAUAAUCUUGUACUUGGAUACGGCAUCGUUGAACGCAUUAACAAGGGCUGAAUCGUCCCACAAAUCGUUUUCCCCCAUUUUCGCUUUCUACUCUGCUGAGUUGCAAAGAGAAUUGCAGCAGGGUUUAAGCUGCG
rnacentral:misc_RNA from 1 species